rnacentral:rRNA from 1 species
GGCGACCGCUUUUGGAGUUCGAUUAAGCCAUGCGAGUAGAAAGAAAUUAGAUUCUUUGCGAACUGCUCAGUAACACGUGGAUAACCUGCCCUAUCGUUUUGAAUAACCUCGGGAAACUGAGAACAAUACAUCAUAGUCCACUACGCCUGGAACGGUGAGUGGAUGAAGGUAGGAUGGGCCUGCGGCGUAUCAGGUUGUAGGGGGUGUAAUGGACCUCCUAGCCAUCGACGCGUACGGGUGUUGGGAGACAUAGCCCGGAGAUGGAUUCUGAGACACGAAUCCAGGCCCUACGGGGCGCAGCAGUUACGAAAACUUGGCAAUGCGGGAAACCGUGACCAGGGAACUCCAAGUGAGUCUCUUUUAGGGGCUCUUUUCUUGACUCUAAAACGGUCUUGGAAUAAGGGGUGGGUAAGGACGGUGCCAGCCGCCGCGGUAAUACCGGCGCCUCAAGUGGUCGUCGCUUUUAUUGGGCCUAAAACGUCCGUAGCCGGUUUGGUACAUUCGUGGGUAAAUCAGCUCGCUCAACGAGUUGAAUUCUGCGAGGACGGCCAGACUAGGGACCGGGAGAGGUGUGGGGAACUCUCAGGGUAGGGGUAAAAUCCUGUCAUCCCGAGAGGACCACCUGUUGCGAAGGCGCCACACUAGAACGGAUCCGACGGUCAGGGACGAAGCCUAGGGGCACGAACCGGAUUAGAUACCCGGGUAGUCCUAGGUGUAAACGCUGUGGACUUGGUGUUAGGAGCUCCCAGAGGGCUCUCAGUGCCGUAGCGAAGGUGAUAAGUCCACUGCCUGGGGAGUACGGUCGCAAGGCUGAAACUUAAAGGAAUUGGCGGGGGAACACCGCAACCUGAGGAUUGUGCGGUUU